AUUGAACGCUGGCGGCAGGCCUAACACAUGCAAGUCGAGCGGAUGAAGGGAGCUUGCUCCUGGAUUCAGCGGCGGACGGGUGAGUAAUGCCUAGGAAUCUGCCUGGUAGUGGGGGAUAACGUCCGGAAACGGGCGCUAAUACCGCAUACGUCCUGAGGGAGAAAGUGGGGGAUCUUCGGACCUCACGCUAUCAGAUGAGCCUAGGUCGGAUUAGCUAGUUGGUGGGGUAAAGGCCUACCAAGGCGACGAUCCGUAACUGGUCUGAGAGGAUGAUCAGUCACACUGGAACUGAGACACGGUCCAGACUCCUACGGGAGGCAGCAGUGGGGAAUAUUGGACAAUGGGCGAAAGCCUGAUCCAGCCAUGCCGCGUGUGUGAAGAAGGUCUUCGGAUUGUAAAGCACUUUAAGUUGGGAGGAAGGGCAGUAAGUUAAUACCUUGCUGUAUUGACGUUACCAACAGAAUAAGCACCGACUAACUUCGUG
rnacentral:rRNA from 1 species